UCACUGUCCAUGGGAUCCAACAGGAAACACAGGUUGCCUUGGCAAAAGCAAACGGAACUUUGAAAAUUAGACCUGGAUUGCAAGAAGAUUAAAUCAAACGGGUUUACCAGAAAAAGAAAAUCCCAUUAAACUCUGCAAGCAAGAGAUGCUGUUAUAUGCAUAAGUUUGUGUAUGUGAUUUUAACCCAAUCAUUGUAGUACACAUUACUAGUCUCCCUAAAAUAGUAUAUAAGUGCUUGUAUCCCACAAUAAAAUCGGAUUCUGA